CCGAAUCUUUAAACUCUGAAUCGAAAAAAUCCCGAAUCUUUAGACUUGGAAUCGAAAACCCCCCGAAUCUUUAAAUUUGGAAUCGAAAAACCCCCGAAUCUUUAACCUUGGAAUCGAAAACCCCCCGAAUCUUUAAACUCUGAAUCGAAAUCGUCGAAUUGCCAUCGUCGAAUUGCCAGUAGAAUUUUUGAUAAACCAGUACAUACAGUACAGC